rnacentral:misc_RNA from 1 species
GAUGAAGAACGUAGCGAAAUGCGAUAAGUAAUGUGAAUUGCAGAAUUCAGUGAAUCAUCGAAUCUUUGAACGCACAUUGCGCUCGCCAGUAUUCUGGCGAGCAUGCCUGUUCGAGCGUCAUUUCAACCAUCAAGCUCUGCUUGCGUUGGGGAUCCGCGGCUGCCCGCGGUCCCUCAAAAACAGUGGCGGGCUCGCUAGUCACACCGAGCGUAGUAACUCUACAUCGUUCCGGUCGUGCGGCGGGUUCUUGCCGUAAAACCCCCCAAUUUCUAAGGUUGACCUCGGAUCAGGUAGGAAUACCCGCUGAACUUAAGCAUAUCAAUAAGCGGAGGA